rnacentral:rRNA from 1 species
GAUGAACGCUAGCGAUAGGCCUAACACAUGCAAGUCGAGGGGCAUCACAUGAAGUAGCAAUACGGAUGGUGGCGACCGGCGCACGGGUGAGUAACACGUAUGCAACCUGCCUUCAACAAGGGGAUAACCCGUUGAAAGACGGACUAAUACCCUAUAACACAGGGGUCCCGCAUGGGAAUAUUUGUUAAAGGACAACCGGUUGAAGAUGGGCAUGCGUUCCAUUAGCUAGUUGGCGGGGUAACGGCCCACCAAGGCAACGAUGGAUAGGGGAACUGAGAGGUUUAUCCCCCACACUGGUACUGAGACACGGACCAGACUCCUACGGGAGGCAGCAGUGAGGAAUAUUGGUCAAUGGACGCAAGUCUGAACCAGCCACGUCGCGUGAAGGAAGACGGCCCUACGGGUUGUAAACUUCUUUUGCAAGGGAAUAAAGUGGGCCACGUGUGGCCUUUUGCAAGUACCUUGCGAAUAAGGAUCGGCUAACUCCGUGCCAGCAGCCGCG